GGCUCGAUGGCGCAGCAGUCCAGCGCAGCUCCCUCAUAAGGAGAAGGCCGCGGGUGCGAAUCCCGCUCGAGCCCCCA
rnacentral:tRNA from 1 species